rnacentral:rRNA from 1 species
GCGUGGGUGAUGAAGGCCUUCGGGUUGUAAAGCCCUUUUGGCGGGGACGAUGAUGACGGUACCCGCAGAAGAAGCCCCGGCUAACUUCGUGCCAGCAGCCGCGGUAAUACGAAGGGGGCUAGCGUUGUUCGGAAUUACUGGGCGUAAAGGGCGCGUAGGCGGCCCCGCGCGUCGAGCGUGAAAGGCCUGGGCUCAACCCAGGAAUGGCGCUCGAUACGGCAGGGCUAGAGUGCAGGAGAGGAUGGUGGAAUUCCCAGUGUAGAGGUGAAAUUCGU